AGGAUGAACGCUGGCGGUAUGCUUUACACAUGCAAGUCGUACGAGAGUUUUUAACUCAAGUGGCGGACGGGUGAGUAACACGUAAGAAUUUGCCUUUAGGAGGGGGAUAACAACUGGAAACGGUUGCUAAUACCCCAUAUGCUUUCGAGUAAAAUGGAUUUUUCCGCCUAAAGAGAAGCUUGCGGCUGAUUAGCUUGUUGGUGAGGUAAUGGCUUACCAAGGCGACGAUCAGUAUCUGGUUUGAGAGGACGAUCAGACACACUGGAACUGAGACACGGUCCAGACUCCUACGGGAGGCAGCAGUGGGGAAUUUUCCGCAAUGGGCGAAAGCCUGACGGAGCAAUACCGCGUGAGGGAUGACGGCCUAUGGGUUGUAAACCUCUUUUUCAGGGAGGAAUCAAUGACGUGUACCUGAAGAAUAAGCAUCGGCUAACUCCGCGCCAGCAGCCGC
rnacentral:rRNA from 1 species